rnacentral:rRNA from 1 species
GGGUUGUGAGGUUAAGCGACUAAGCGUACACGGUGGAUGCCCUGGCAGUCAGAGGCGAUGAAGGACGUGCUAAUCUGCGAUAAGCGUCGGUAAGGUGAUAUGAACCGUUAUAACCGGCGAUUUCCGAAUGGGGAAACCCAGUGUGUUUCGACACACUAUCAUUAACUGAAUCCAUAGGUUAAUGAGGCGAACCGGGGGAACUGAAACAUCUAAGUACCCCGAGGAAAAGAAAUCAACCGAGAUUCCCCCAGUAGCGGCGAGCGAACGGGGAGCAGCCCAGAGCCUGAAUCAGUGUGUGUGUUAGUGGAAGCGUCUGGAAAGGCGCGCGAUACAGGGUGACAGCCCCGUACACAAAAAUGCACAUGCUGUGAGCUCGAUGAGUAGGGCGGGACACGUGGUAUCCUGUCUGAAUAUGGGGGGACCAUCCUCCAAGGCUAAAUACUCCUGACUGACCGAUAGUGAACCAGUACCGUGAGGGAAAGGCGAAAAGAACCCCGGCGAGGGGAGUGAAAAAGAACCUGAAACCGUGUACGUACAAGCAGUGGGAGCACGCUUAGGCGUGUGACUGCGUACCUUUUGUAUAAUGGGUCAGCGACUUAUAUUCUGUAGCAAGGUUAACCGAAUAGGGGAGCCGAAGGGAAACCGAGUCUUAACUGGGCGUUAAGUUGCAGGGUAUAGACCCGAAACCCGGUGAUCUAGCCAUGGGCAGGUUGAAGGUUGGGUAACACUAACUGGAGGACCGAACCGACUAAUGUUGAAAAAUUAGCGGAUGACUUGUGGCUGGGGGUGAAAGGCCAAUCAAACCGGGAGAUAGCUGGUUCUCCCCGAAAGCUAUUUAGGUAGCGCCUCGUGAAUUCAUCUCCGGGGGUAGAGCACUGUUUCGGCAAGGGGGUCAUCCCGACUUACCAACCCGAUGCAAACUGCGAAUACCGGAGAAUGUUAUCACGGGAGACACACGGCGGGUGCUAACGUCCGUCGUGAAGAGGGAAACAACCCAGACCGCCAGCUAAGGUCCCAAAGUCAUGGUUAAGUGGGAAACGAUGUGGGAAGGCCCAGACAGCCAGGAUGUUGGCUUAGAAGCAGCCAUCAUUUAAAGAAAGCGUAAUAGCUCACUGGUCGAGUCGGCCUGCGCGGAAGAUGUAACGGGGCUAAACCAUGCACCGAAGCUGCGGCAGCGACGCUUAUGCGUUGUUGGGUAGGGGAGCGUUCUGUAAGCCUGUGAAGGUGUGCUGUGAGGCAUGCUGGAGGUAUCAGAAGUGCGAAUGCUGACAUAAGUAACGAUAAAGCGGGUGAAAAGCCCGCUCGCCGGAAGACCAAGGGUUCCUGUCCAACGUUAAUCGGGGCAGGGUGAGUCGACCCCUAAGGCGAGGCCGAAAGGCGUAGUCGAUGGGAAACAGGUUAAUAUUCCUGUACUUGGUGUUACUGCGAAGGGGGGACGGAGAAGGCUAUGUUGGCCGGGCGACGGUUGUCCCGGUUUAAGCGUGUAGGCUGGUUUUCCAGGCAAAUCCGGAAAAUCAAGGCUGAGGCGUGAUGACGAGGCACUACGGUGCUGAAGCAACAAAUGCCCUGCUUCCAGGAAAAGCCUCUAAGCAUCAGGUAACAUCAAAUCGUACCCCAAACCGACACAGGUGGUCAGGUAGAGAAUACCAAGGCGCUUGAGAGAACUCGGGUGAAGGAACUAGGCAAAAUGGUGCCGUAACUUCGGGAGAAGGCACGCUGAUAUGUAGGUGAAGUCCCUCGCGGAUGGAGCUGAAAUCAGUCGAAGAUACCAGCUGGCUGCAACUGUUUAUUAAAAACACAGCACUGUGCAAACACGAAAGUGGACGUAUACGGUGUGACGCCUGCCCGGUGCCGGAAGGUUAAUUGAUGGGGUUAGCGCAAGCGAAGCUCUUGAUCGAAGCCCCGGUAAACGGCGGCCGUAACUAUAACGGUCCUAAGGUAGCGAAAUUCCUUGUCGGGUAAGUUCCGACCUGCACGAAUGGCGUAAUGAUGGCCAGGCUGUCUCCACCCGAGACUCAGUGAAAUUGAACUCGCUGUGAAGAUGCAGUGUACCCGCGGCAAGACGGAAAGACCCCGUGAACCUUUACUAUAGCUUGACACUGAACAUUGAGCCUUGAUGUGUAGGAUAGGUGGGAGGCUUUGAAGUGUGGACGCCAGUCUGCAUGGAGCCGACCUUGAAAUACCACCCUUUAAUGUUUGAUGUUCUAACGUGGACCCGUGAUCCGGGUUGCGGACAGUGUCUGGUGGGUAGUUUGACUGGGGCGGUCUCCUCCUAAAGAGUAACGGAGGAGCACGAAGGUUGGCUAAUCCUGGUCGGACAUCAGGAGGUUAGUGCAAUGGCAUAAGCCAGCUUGACUGCGAGCGUGACGGCGCGAGCAGGUGCGAAAGCAGGUCAUAGUGAUCCGGUGGUUCUGAAUGGAAGGGCCAUCGCUCAACGGAUAAAAGGUACUCCGGGGAUAACAGGCUGAUACCGCCCAAGAGUUCAUAUCGACGGCGGUGUUUGGCACCUCGAUGUCGGCUCAUCACAUCCUGGGGCUGAAGUAGGUCCCAAGGGUAUGGCUGUUCGCCAUUUAAAGUGGUACGCGAGCUGGGUUUAGAACGUCGUGAGACAGUUCGGUCCCUAUCUGCCGUGGGCGCUGGAGAACUGAGGGGGGCUGCUCCUAGUACGAGAGGACCGGAGUGGACGCAUCACUGGUGUUCGGGUUGUCAUGCCAAUGGCACUGCCCGGUAGCUAAAUGCGGAAGAGAUAAGUGCUGAAAGCAUCUAAGCACGAAACUUGCCCCGAGAUGAGUUCUCCCUGACUCCUUGAGAGUCCUGAAGGAACGUUGAAGACGACGACGUUGAUAGGCCGGGUGUGUAAGCGCAGCGAUGCGUUGAGCUAACCGGUACUAAUGAACCGUGAGGCUUAACCUUACAACGCCGAAG